CAAUAGCGUAUAUUAAAGUUGUUGCAGUUAAAAAGCUCGUAGUUGGAGUUCGGGGAAAGCUCAGUCGGUCGGCCUAAUGGGUCAGAACUGGCUGACUCUCUCUUGUUUGCGGAUCCCUCCCGGAGUUAACUCUUCAGGUUGUGGAGUCCGCAUCGUUUACCUUGAAAAAUUAGAGUGUUCAAAGCAGGCGUUUGCUUGAAUAUAUUAGCAUGGAAUAAUGGAAUAGGACCCUGGUUCUAUUUUGUUGGUUUUGAGAGCCAGAGUAAUGAUUAAUAGGGAUAGUUGGGGGCAUUCAUAUUUCAUUGUCAGAGGUGAAAUUCUUGGAUUUAUGAAAGAUGAACUUCUGCGAAAGCAUUUGCCAAGGAUGUUUUCAUUAAUCAAGAACGAAAGUUAGGGGAUCGAAGACGAUUAGAUACCGU
rnacentral:rRNA from 1 species